rnacentral:lncRNA from 10 species
CUCCGUAAAUGGCAGCUCCAUCCUUCAAGUUACCGAAGCCCUAAAUCUCAACGUUAACCUUGAUUUCUCUCUUUUAUCUCACAGGCAAUCUGAAGGCAAAUCCUGUUUAGACCCAGGCGAAGGUUCCCGGUGACCCGGGCUCUCACCAGCCAAUUGUCCCUUGCCGUCCUCCUGAGGGUGCCUGGAGCUUAAGCACUGUGUGCUCUUGGCCUCCACACUGGGGAUGCCGCUGACUCCCACUGUCCAGGGCUUCCAGUGGAUUCUCCGAGGCCCUGAUGUAGAAACUUCCCCAUUGGGUGCACCAAGAGCAGCCUCACAUGGUGUGGGCUGACAUCAAGAGCUGCCAGAUCCAACAGGUCCUGGGGGAGUAGGAGCCAGUGCAAGGAGAGAAGUCCAUUGAGAAAGGCAAAUGGAUGACAUCAGACCCAGGGGCUGAGGUCCCCAACUGCAGCUGGGUAGCUUCUGGAGUGGACAAGGAGCAACAGGGAAGUUCGUGGCCUGGUGUUCUGGGAUCCACUGUCUCAUCUCAUUCUUGUGGGCACCAGAACGUAUCCAAAGACAAGACUCAGUGUCUCUGGCAACAGUGAGCCAGAGAUAGAAUGUGUUUCAGAGGAG